GGCGAGGUAGUUUAGUUGGAGAAUGUCUAUUUUACACGUAGAAGGGGGGAGUUUGAUCUUAUCGUCA
rnacentral:tRNA from 1 species